UAAUACUCCAUAGAUUAGAGACACUGGAAUGUUCUUUAGUCGAAAGUUCUGGCGCCUUAGGAUGGAUCUGCGGUCGAUUAGGUUGUUGUUGGGGUAACGGCCCAACAAGCCUGUAAUCGAUACGGGUUGUGGGAGCAAGAGCCCGGAGAUGGAAUCUGAGACACGAUUCCAGGCCCUACGGGGCGCAGCAGGCGCGAAAACUUUACAAUGCAGGAAACUGUGAUAAGGGAACUCCGAGUGCCCGUAUACGCGGGCUGUCCAGGUGUUUAAAAAUCAUCUGAAGAAAGGGCCGGGCAAGACCGGUGCCAGCCGCCGCGGUAAUACCGGCGGCUCGAGUGGUGGCCACUAUUAUUGGGCUUAAAGCGUCCGUAGCUGGACCGAUAAGUCUCUUGGGAAAUCCGCCGGCUCAACCGGCGGGCGUCUAAGGGAUACUGUUAGUCUAGGGACCGGGAGAGGUGAGAGGUACUCCGGGGGUAGGAGUGAAAUCCUGUAAUCCCCGGGGGACCACCGAUGGCGAAGGCAUCUCACCAGAACGGCUCCGACAGUGAGGGACGGAAGCUGGGGGAGCGAACCGGAUUAGAUACCCGGGUAGUCCCAGCCGUAAACUAUGCGCGUUAGGUGU
rnacentral:rRNA from 1 species